AUCCUAAGAAAGAAAAGACCCCAUAAGGAAGAUCUUAAGAGGUAGGCAAAGGUUUUUAUUCUCUUUAGGCAUUUGGGUAAUAUUCUUGUUUACUGUGAAAAUAAGAUGUUUGAGUUGAGGUAGGAGGUCAUAAUUCUUAAGUGAGCAUCUAAAAGCAGCCCCGCAAACAACAGAGGCUUUUCAUGAAGCAGAUCACCAAGUUUGUCAUUUUUCACUUUUACUAUCUCUGCUUCUGUUCUUUUCUAAUCCUUGAACCACUAGAUGCUAACAGGAGAAAUACCCUCAGCUAUGCAUCCAGUGUUAAGCAUUGUUCAGUUCAUGGUUAUCCACUGUUGUACAUUUUAACCUGCAGUCUGGACACAACAGUGUCCUCCCUGCCACGUGAAGCCAUGCUGAUUAAGCCUGUGAAUAUAAGAACCUUAUAUUCUGCUCAACACUGCCAUUGUUUCUUCCAGGGACAUCAAGGCAUUUUCCACUGAAGUGGGUGCGAUGAAAUUACUUUACCUUCUCAUGUCUGCUAUCCUGUUGAUUUCUCAAGCCAUGGCAGCUCCUGAAGGCUGUAAACAGGAAAGACAGACUGGGUGGAAAGAUUUGAUACAGAAGAAAGGUCCCUUCAUCAACGCCUUCAUCAACAAUUAUAAGCACCGUUACUGUGACUCUCUCAUAAGCGUGUGCCUGAGGAGGAAAACAAAGUGUACUCGUAUGCCGGGGUUGUGCCCUGGCAGGAGCUUCUGCUGUGUGAGAACCAUGGCCUGAGGAAUUUACCUUUCCCAUCCUUCCUGAAUUAUACCAGAAUACUGAGA